AUUGAACGCUGGCGGCAUGCCUUACACAUGCAAAUCGAACGGUAACGGGCCUUCGGGUGCCGACGAGUGGCGAACGGGUGAGUAAUACAUCGGAACGUGCCCGAUCGUGGGGGAUAACGAGGCGAAAGCUUUGCUAAUACCGCAUACGAUCUACGGAUGAAAGCAGGGGACCGCAAGGCCUUGCGCGGACGGAGCGGCCGAUGGCAGAUUAGGUAGUUGGUGGGAUAAAAGCUUACCAAGCCGACGAUCUGUAGCUGGUCUGAGAGGAUGGUCAGCCACACUGGGACUGAGACACGGCCCAGACUCCUACGGGAGGCAGCAGUGGGGAAUUUUGGACAAUGGGCGCAAGCCUGAUCCAGCCAUGCCGCGUGCAGGAUGAAGGCCUUCGGGUUGUAAACUGAUUUUGUACGGAACGAAAAGCCUUCUUUUAAUACAGGAGGGUCAUGACGGUACCGUAAGAAUAAGCACCGGCUAACUACGUG
rnacentral:rRNA from 1 species